UCAUGAGAAAUUACCGCCAACUCCGCAAAUUUGUUUUAGAUACGUGCUCCCACGCGCUCGUGCUCACUAUUGGCGCUUUUGAUUGGUCGUCUACAUAUAGUGUUUAAAAGCGCUUUUCCUCAGACUCCACUCUUUAUUCGCACUGGAUUUAUUUGUAGUCUAACUGAAAAUGGUUCGUACGUUCAUUCUGAUGUGUCUUCUGGUUGGUGGGAUAGAGUGUUCUUUAGUCAGGGGUCAACCUAUACGUUUAGAAAAACAUGCAUGGACGGUGGGACGUGCUCUUACUCUAAAGACUGAUCUUACUGAACUACAGACAGAUCAUGUGAUACUGUGGAAGUUUAAUAAUGAAAGUACAAUCUUAGCAAAGAUCGACAGAGAAACAAAUGAGACGUCAAUACCUGGAAAUGCUGAUGAGAGAUUCAGAGACAGACUGAAGCUGAACGAUACGACAGGAGAUCUCAUCAUCACACACUGCAAGACCUCAGACUCUGGAGAUUAUAAGAUGGAGAUCAAAGACAGCACAGAUACAAGAAGCACGAUAUUCAGAGUUCAUGUUAACAAGAUUAAUGUUCCAGAGGAGUUUGUGCUGGUGACGGAGGGACGAUCUGUUACUUUACAAACUGGUCUCAAUGAACUACAGACAGAUCAGGAGAUACUGUGGAUGUUAAAUGAUGAAAAUAAAAUCUUAGCAAAGAUCAACAGAGAAACAAAUGAGACGUCAAUACCUGGAAAUGCUGAUGAGAGAUUCAGAGACAGACUGAAGCUGAACGAUACGACGGGAGAUCUCAUCAUCACACACAGCAAGAUCUCAGACGCUGGAGAUUAUAAGAUGGAGAUCAAAGACAGCACAGAUACAAGACACAUGAGAUUCAGAGUUGAAGUCAGGGAGAUUGAUCUUCCAGAGGAGUUUGUGCUGUUGAAGGAGGGACUAUCUGUUACUCUAUAUACUUUUCUCAAUGAACUACACACAAAUCAGGAGAUUACUGUGGAAGUUUAAUAAUGAAAGUCCAAUCUUAGCAAAGAUCAACAGAGAAACAAAUGAGUCGUCAAUACCUGGAAAUGCUGAUGAGAGAUUCAGAGACAGACUGAAGCUGAACGAUAAGACGGGAGAUCUCACCAUCACACACAGCAAGAUCUCAGACUCUGGAGAUUAUAAGAUGGAGAUCAGAGACAGCACAGAGGCAAUACAAAAGAUAUUCAGAGUUACUGUCAGGAAUUCACUGAAAACUAAAGAAAGUGAAUUAACAACAGUUGUGAAGACUUUAGUGAUUAAAGCAGAAGAUGAAGUUUGAUCAGCUGAUAGAUGCUCAUCAUCACAUCUGUUACAUCACCAACAUCUACAGUUUAACUAUCUCAUGAUCCGUCCUCUUUAAAAGAUCAUCUUCAUAUGCUGUUGAGCUCAAUUGAAAAAUAAAAGUAUUUUUUUAAAUAACUACUUAAACAACUAUCAGCUAAAUAUAAACAUUAUUAAAAAAGUGUUUGUGUCUGAUCAUUUAUGUCUUUUAAUGGAUAAACUGAUUAUUUAGUAAUGGCUGUUUUAACAGUAAACACAUGUUGGUGUUGUGUUCGAGCUGCUUUAACAUGUUAUACUAAACACACAAUGCAUGUCAUUAUAAAUAAAAAAUGUCAAUCACAA